CGUGAAAGCAAAUGUACAGUACAACGGCUACCACCUCUGCUCGUACUACUUCACCGAAUGCGCUUACGCCGACCUUGCCAGAACGCGGCAGUUGUUGACGGCUGUUCCCGCUGUUGCAGUGGAAGUGGUGUCCCUGAUCGAUGAAGGACCCUCCCUGGCACAAGUCACGGCUGAUUCGGCUCAAGACCACCCGGGCCAAAACAGGCUCGCCGCAGUGUCAGAAGGCGACCCCACCACAGCCAGCUCCGUCUCCCAUGAAUCGCCCUCUCAUCUCUGUAUCACGCGAUCAUUUGUACUUACUAUACGUGACACGCAGCUAUACGCUACUGUGGCAUGUACUGAAUGUCUUCGUUUUCGAUACGUUGCUAAUAAAAUAAGUGAAUAAACCACA
rnacentral:lncRNA from 1 species